UAGGCUUGACCCCACAAACCAUGAGAUCACGACCAGAGCUGAAAUCAAGAGUCAGACGCUUAACGGACUGAGCCACCUAGGCACUCCUGUUUGAUAAGUUUUUGAUUCACAUGUCUUUAGAAUUCUUUUUAUUGAUCAACUGCCAAAAUUAAGAGAGGUAUCAAAGUGAAGUAGAUUUAAGGAGUCCAAGACAAUCAAGCAGAGAGACACCAUCAACAACCAUUAUCCGGGUGGUUUCAGUACUUUUUGGUCUGCCAAAACCUUUCUAUUUUUUACAGUUUUUCCUUUUUUCCAUCUUUUCUGUGUUAGGCCUCUGCUUUUGCGGGUGACUCAGUUGGCCUCCAAGACUGUAGCUACUUGGUGACAGCCCCCCUGAAAUUCAGUUUUUUAUUAAUGGCCUUCCUGAUUCCUGAGCGAGCUGCUUCUGGAUAAAGCCAGACUCUCUUCAGAAUUAUUCACUCAACAGAUGUUUGCAACUCAGAGGAAACCAUUCCUUUGUUUUGGUUCAUUAUAAAGAUGAACAGGUUAAGCGCUUGAUUCCAAUGUAAGAAUUAUAUUGAAGUUAAGUUUUACUUUCUCCUGGCAUUCAGAGUUGCAGCAUAUAAGCAUACUUGGUCUGAAUGCUCAGAAAUCUUAAAAAUCUUGAUAUAAUUCUGUAACACAGCAUAUUAACAAUGUAGAAAACUACAUAAUACUAUUUAUGGCAGGAUUUUAAAAUACUUAUAUGUACAUUAUUUGUUAGACAUCAACAUUAUGUUUUCUAUCUAAAUAAUUUGGAAAUGUUAAACAUAGUCAACACAAGAACAAUAUCCAAUGAACUUAUUUACCUUGUGUUCACAGCUAGAUAUUUGGAAUAACUCUAGACAUAUCUACUUCAAGUGAACAAAAGCAAACAAGUAUAAAUCUGUAAUCUAGAGGUGCAUGGGUGACUCAGUCGGUUAAGCAUCCAACUCUUGAUCUCUGCUCUGGUCAUGAUCUCAGUUUGUGAGAGUUUUGCUCUCUCCAAAUAAUUUAGAAAUAUAUUACUAUAUAAUUUAAAAAUCAAUACAGAUAUCUGCUGUUGAAAUGUGAUUAUGGUUACUAUUUAAAUUACUAUUAAAAUUAUGAUUUUAAUUAAGACUAAUUAUAGUAGAAACACACAGGUACAUAUUAUAUUUCAUACUUUUGCUUGUUACUAGGAAGUUCAGAGUUAGACUUAAUGUUUAAUCAUGAGUCUUAGUGAUCUAUUUGCUUAGUCUGUGCCAUUGAUUCUAAAUAGCCAAGGAAAGACAACCUUCCCCUAGGAAGGUGUGUUAGAGUCUCUGUGUUCAUAAAUUUUUUCAUCAUAUUAUUGCAUGGGUUUAUAAAAAUGUUGAAAAAAAAUAUGUUUUAUUUUAUUAUCUGCAAAUUUAAUUUUUUAUUAAAUUAUUAUAUAUAGCUUUUAUUAAGUUAUCUAAAUUCUUUUCAGAAGAACAAUUUUUAUUAUAUAGUCUUUAUUCCAGUAAGUAUACAU